rnacentral:rRNA from 1 species
ACUACGGGGUGCAGCAGUGGGGAAUAUUGCACAAUGGGGGAAACCCUGAUGCAGCGACGCCGCGUGAGUGAAGAAGUAUUGCGGGAUGGAAAGCUCUAUCAGCAGGGAAGAAAAAAGACGGUACCUGACUAAGAAGCCCCGGCUAACUACGUGCCAGCAGCCGCGGUAAUACGUCGGGGGCAAGCGUUAUCCGGAUUUACGGGGUGUCAAGGGAGCGUAGACGGAGAAGCAAGUCUGAAGUGAAAGCCCGUGGCUUAACCACGGGACUGCUUUGGAAACGGUUUGACUAGAGUGCUGGAGGGGUCAGUGUACUUCCUAUUGUAGCGGUGACAUGCGUAGAUAUUAGGAGGAACACCAGUGGCGACGGCGGCUUACUGGACAGUACCUGACGUUGAGGCUCGACAGCGUGGGGAGCAAACAGGAUUAGAUACCCGUGUAGUC